GCUGGGCAUAGUGGCUCAUGCCUGUAAUCCCAGCAUUUUGGGAGGCCGAGGUGGGUGCAUCACCUGAGGUCAGGAGUUCAAGACCAGCCUGACCAACAUGGUGAAACCCCAUCUCUA
rnacentral:SRP_RNA from 1 species